AUUCUUUUGCAGAGGCAAUAUUGUAGCCUAUGAGGCUCAUCCGAGGCGCAAUCAUUGCUGGUUGAAAACUAGGGAAGUCGUGGCCUAAUGGU
rnacentral:snRNA from 1 species